GUCAGGAUGGCCGAGCGGUCCAAGGCGCUGCGUUCAGGUCGCAGUCCGGUCUUCCGGGCGUGGGUUCGAAUCCCACUUCUUACA
rnacentral:tRNA from 1 species